GACAUAGGGGGCAAGCGUUGUUCGGAAUUACUGGGCGUAAAGGGAGCGUAGGCGGGAGAUUAAGUUAAGAGUGAAAGCCUUGGGCUCAACCCAAGAAAUGCUCUUAAUACUGGUUUUCUAGAGUGUGGGAGAGGUAAGUGGAAUUCCUAGUGUAGCGGUAGAAUGCGUAGAGAUUAGGAAGAACACCAGUGGCGAAGGCGACUUACUGGACUGUAACUGACGCUGAGGCAUGAGAGCAUGGGGAGCAAACAGG
rnacentral:rRNA from 1 species